rnacentral:rRNA from 1 species
UACGGGGGGAGCAAGCGUUGCUCGGAUUUACUGGGCGUAAAGGGCGCGUAGGCGGUCGUGACAAGUCACUUGUGAAAUCUCCGGGCUUAACUCGGAACGGUCAAGUGAUACUGUCGGACUAGAGUACAGAAGGGGCAACUGGAAUUCUCGGUGUAGCGGUGAAAUGCGUAGAUAUCGAGAGGAACACCUGCGGCGAAGGCGGGUUGCUGGGCUGAUACUGACGCUGAGGCGCGAAAGCCAGGGGAGCGAACGGG